GAUGAAAGCUCUGCUGAUGUUUUUGAAUAAUCGGGUGGGAGAAGGUCUCGUUCUUGGAAGAAUUUCGGAAGUUCGAGUCCUUCACGGUCAGUUGAGUCGAAAGCUCGGUGACGAGGUGCUACAUCAAUCCUCACAAAGAAAUCAUUGAAAGAUCGUCCAAAUGAUCGCAAAAGGAGCGCACGAGACCCAAAAUCUUCUCACGACUUAUCUGAUUCUUCUGGUACUGCUGAUAUGCCUCUGGGUACUCUAUUCCGGCAUUUAUUAAUUCAUUCGAAUGAAUUUGAAUUGAGUAAUGAAGAGUUCUUCAUGUCUGUGGGAUAAAAUGCAAGGCAACAAUGACCUCCGGGUGGCACUGGAGUCUCGAGAACCUCCACGAGGAUUAAUCCAACGUCCAGACACUUUUGCAUUCAGAAUACCCAGGAAUCGAUUAAUUAAUUAAUUGUUCUGUUAUUCAUAUUUUUUCGUCGAGUGCGCUUGAUAUUAUUUGUGUGUACAUAUCCUGUUUAUUGUAUCAGCGAAAUUAUUUCAUCAUGAUCGCACAAUUUCCAAUGUUGCGAGUGGAAAAUUGAGAUUAAAAAAAUUUUGUGAUGACAGUCGCUAGUUUGUCAUGAGUAAAAUGGACUUUCUAUUAUCA